rnacentral:lncRNA from 1 species
GUCUUUGAGAUUGCGAUCUCCGAGCAACUGUUUGAGGCUUGUGUCCUCAAGUGUGUAACGGUUUGUUGAGCACCCUUAAGCUUAACAAGAUAGUGAAACAUCUCGAGAGAGUCUCUCGGGGACUGGACUAGCCACGUGUUGUGGUGAACCAGAAUACAUCGGUACGUACUUUAUUAUUUAUCGCACUUAUUCACUUCCUGCAAUUUUUAAAUUCCGCAAGUUAACGCUAAUUUUUAUUAUAACGCUAUUCA